GAGUAUCUGAGCAUACACUCUUCGUAAUAGAGCGUCACCUCUCUCGCGUUCGGACACUGAGUAAAGGUUUCGUUGACGGCAAAGGCGACGCAUCUACGGCAAACUUCCGGCGUGACAUCUCCGCGGCAGAGGUAAAGUCCGGUGACUCUGUCGGGAGGUUGCCCGACGGUGGCGUUCUGGAAUCCGGUGGCGUAGGAAGCGUUGGGAGAAGAGAGAGAAGACAAAAGGGUUCUGAGAUUGGCCAAGUAAGUGCUGUUUCUUGAGAAAGUUGUGGUAUUAGGACAGAUACGGUAUACGUAAGUAGGAUUUUGAGCACAGGCUCUGAAGCUAGUGAGAAAGGAUAAAAGGAAAAGGAAGACGAAAGUGGAAGAAGACAUAACUGGAGUUUCUUGAUUUGUGUUUUUCAUCAUGUGAAUAUCUAUAUGAUAUACUCCCUCGGUUUCAAUAUACUUGAUGUUUUAGAGAAGUUUUGUUGUUUCAUAAUAGAUGAAGUUUGCACAAAUCUAUGUAAUUUUAACUUUGACAUCUCCGCGGCAGAGGUAAAGUCCGGUGACUCUGUCGGGAGGUUGCCCGACGGUGGCGCUCUGGAAUCCGGUGGCGUAGGAAGCGUUGGGAGAAGAGAGAGAAGACAAAAGGGUUCUGAGAUUGGCCAAGUAAGUGCUGUUUCUUGAGAAAGUAGUGGUAUUUGGACAGAUAAGGUGUACGAAUCUGGGAUCUUGAGCAAAAGUUCCGAAGCUAGUGAGAAAGGAGAAAAGGAAAAGGAAGACGAAAGUGGAAGAAGACAUAACUGGAGUUUCUU
rnacentral:lncRNA from 1 species